GAUCCUGGCUCAGGAUGAACGCUGGCGGCGUGCUAACGCAUGCAAGUCGAACGAAGCAUUCCAACUCUCGGAGGAAGAAAUGACUGAGUGGCGGACGGGUGAGUAACGCGUGGGUAACCUGCCUUAUACAGGGGGAUAACAGUUAGAAAUGACUGCUAAUACCGCAUAACCCGCUAGUACCGCAUGGUACAGACGGAAAAGAUUUAUCGGUAUAAGAUGGACCCGCGUCUGAUUAGCUAGUUGGUGAGGUAAUGGCUCACCAAGGCGACGAUCAGUAGCCGGCUUGAGAGAGUGAACGGCCACACUGGGACUGAGACACGGCCCAAACUCCUACGGGAGGCAGCAGUGGGGAAUAUUGCACAAUGGGGGAAACCCUGAUGCAGCAACGCCGCGUGAAGGAAGAAGUAUUUCGGUAUGUAAACUUCUAUCAGCAGGAAAGAAAAUGACGGUACCUGACUAAGAAGCCCCGGCUAACUACGUGCCAGCCGCAGC
rnacentral:rRNA from 1 species